GAACGAACGCUGGCGGCAUGCCUAAUACAUGCAAGUCGAACGAACUCUUCGGAGUUAGUGGCGCACGGGUGCGUAACGCGUGGGAAUCUGCCCCUUGGUUCGGAAUAACAGUUGGAAACGACUGCUAAUACCGGAUGAUGACGAAAGUCCAAAGAUUUAUCGCCAAGGGAUGAGCCCGCGUAGGAUUAGCUAGUUGGUGAGGUAAAGGCUCACCAAGGCAACGAUCCUUAGCUGGUCUGAGAGGAUGAUCAGCCACACUGGGACUGAGACACGGCCCAGACUCGUACGGGAGGCAGCAGUAGGGAAUAUUGGACAAGU
rnacentral:rRNA from 1 species